CAUGUAGUUGUUGCUUUUCCUCUGAGAUGCCAACAACAGGAUCAGACCCAGUUUGUGAACAGGCCAAUGUAGCUGAACCACACUGUCAAAUAUAUGCUAAUGUCCCAGAACACAGAACUAAAAGAGGUCGCCGAGAGCCAAAACACUGAAUACUGACUGAAGGAUGGAGGAGAGGCUCUGUUAAAGCUCGGUUACAUAGUGUGUGCAGGAUGGCCUAACAUUGUUGCCACUCUCUUGAGAGGAUACUCAUCUCACCUGCUUUUUCCAGUGUUUUUGGAACAGUAUUUGCCCUGCUCCCUCAAUGUGUCCACCCCCUUCUACAGGACCCAAU